rnacentral:tRNA from 1 species
GGGGCCUUAGCUCAGCUGGGAGAGCGCCUGCUUUGCACGCAGGAGGUCAGCGGUUCGAUCCCGCUANGCUCCA